UACUAGUUCGGUUUCAUUGGAGGUUUUUUGAAGAUCAAGGAGAUUGGAGAGGAGCUUCAUGCUUUGGGUCGGGGAAGAAAAGACGGAGAAUUGGAUUUUUCUUCUUCAUAGAGUUUUAGGAAGACUGAGGCGAUCGUUGCUGAAGUCAGUGUUGUAAUGGUGAAUCGGGAUUUUUUAAUGAAGUGGGUUUGAUUACUCUUGAUUGUUUUGUGAAAUCGAGUUACGUCUGUGAUUGAAGGAUUAAAAGGGUGUCUAUAGGAUUGAGUAUGUGGAGUGAAUGAAAUUUAUUGGGUUAAUCUAACAAGACAGUCAGUGGAUACAAGAUCGUAAGUACAAAGCGGUAUCAGAGAUUAGCAGAUUGGGUUGUUCAGGGUUCUUUGUAACGUCUACAGACCUAUAGGCUGGGGCAAAAAGGACUUCGACAAGCAGUCGAAGGGCAUCUGUAUAGAUUUAUGGUAUAUUCUUGAUGUCGUUUAUAUUCCAACAGUCAAAAACUGAUAGACUGCUUGAUUAUUGGCGAAUCUCCAUACUACUUUCUACAGCCAAAUGCCCGACGCAUUCUCGAGCAGGAAAGCACGUAAUAUGACAAAAGUGGUCAACCCGACGUGAAAGCUUGAGGUGGAAGGUAUUGGAUUUCGGUUGAUUUUAUCUUUAUUUUAUGGAAAACGAAUAUAAAAAUUUUGAAGGAUUUUUAGGAGGAGUUUCUGGUGGGGAUUCUUCUAAAGGAUAAGAUAUUCACAUGGAUCCGUCUAUUGCUAGUAUGUUUCAAGCGUUCUCAUUGUCAAUGCAGCAAUAGCAAAGCAAUGAUCGAAAGGAAGCUUUGGCAACCAAAGCAUUGCAAGCAGUGGUCAAUAAAAUUGAUCAAUUUGAUAGGAGGAGUAUUUCAAGGUAUUUAAGCUGUUAUAUUCGUGAAAUGGAAUUAAAUCGGGUUUCUGAGAAGAAAAUGGUUGCACUAUUUGGACUUGCCACGAUACCGGAGAUAAGAAACCACAUUACAUCGAUUACGGAUCGUUAUGGGAAUUCAUGGGAGGUUUUUUCACAUGCAUUGAAAGACGAAUAAUUCUUGGAAGAUGCUGAUCGCGUUACUAAGAAGCUGUUUCUGGAAUGGAUUGAACGGCCCAAUAAGAAUUUGCAAGCAACAGAGCUACUAAGGGAAUUUGAGAGGCAGUACUCUCAAUUACCGAAGGUAGAAAAAUUGACAUUGGAGCCGAACAAAGUUGAUCUAUUUCUUCAAGCUGCUGAUGGAGAAUUGCAAGGAAAAUUAGAACUUCUUCUUGAAGACAAAGAAGAAGAUGAAGGAUUGACAACAAAGUGGAAGAACGUUGAAGAUGCGGUGGAGUUGCUUACAAAAAAAGAAAGGAGGAAGGAUAGGAGCAAUAUUCCAAAAACAGUACAAGCACCCAAAGCUCUAGUACGUACAACACCACCAACAAUGCCUACAGUUCAACCUUCGACAUCCUUAUCAAAGAAAGCAGAUAUGGAGAUGGAAGAAAUUAUACGAGGAAUGCGAGAUCUUCAAAUCAAAUUGGCAAGUUUUGAAGAGAAUACUUCUACAAACAAUUCGAAGAAUGUUUCAAAACAAGGAUAUGUACAAAAAUGCAUUUGGUGUGAUGAUGCUUCACACACUAGGAAAGAUUGCAAUGAAUUUAAUAAUAUGAUACGACAAGGAAUUAUUUGCUGGAAAGAUGGGAAGAUAGCAUUAAAAAGAUAGGAAAGAUCUUUUUCAAACUAAUUUUGGCAAGGGAGGAAUGAGAGCAUUGGUUCAAGAUUUCUUAAAAGAGCAUGAAACAGCAACACGAAAAAGUGCAAGUUAUGGUGCUAGAGUAGAUGAUGACCUUGGUGGAAGUACGGAAACUAGUGAGUUUUGGGCUUCUGCCGUUUCUACAAUGCAAGAAGGGAAAUUACCUCGAGAAGCGUUAUUGAGGACUGCAGCUAUAAUACGAGGUAGAACAGGUUGGGAUGAUCCUGUUGAGUCUCUUUCUGUUCAUGCAUAUAUUGCUAAGAGCCAACAUGAAGCUUUGAUGGAAGAAAAGAGACGAGGAAAUUUUGAUGAUACUAGAGAAGGAAAUUCUUCUAAGAGGCAAACUCGAGGAGACUAGGUUCGGGAGGCAGCUUCACAAGAAUUGCCUGUAAAGGAUACCUCAGCAUCAUUGGGAGAAAAUACAAAGGAGACAAAAGAUAAGGACAAAUCAAUUGCUUAUAAGCUACUUUCUGACAUUGAAGCAGCAACAAAUUUAAAAGGGGUGUUGGAAGAACGUAUAUUAAACGCUAAGGUGGAAUUCACAUUGAAAGAAGUCUUGGGAAUUGCAAAGAAGGAGUUUCAUGAUGUUAUCAUUGACAGCAUUAAGCGAAAGAAGCAAUUGAUGGGCAAAACUGGAAUGAGUCAUGGUAUUGAUACAAGAAUAUGUAAAGAUGAAGAAGAGGUUGAUAUUGGUUACAAGCAACCAACAAAUGAAAAGAAUGGGUAUAAUCAACGAGUAUAUUUUGAAGAUUCUAGUGACAAGGAAAUAGAAACUUUGAGCCAUUAUACUCGAAAGCAUUAGGCAAGGGCAACUACUGAGGUAUUGGUGAAAGUAGGAGAUAUAGAAGAACCAAUUAUUGCUUUAGUCGACCAUGGUUCUGAAAUAAAUCUCAUGUCUAAAGAUCUUUAUAAGAAGCAAAAAUGGCCAAUUGAUAUGGAACAUGGAUGGGCAAUUCGAGCGGCUAAUAACACACGGGGCGAAUUAUAUGGAGCUUGUCCAGAUGUCAAAAUUUAGAUUGGGGAUGUUGCAACGGAGCAACAUUUCUUUGUUCAAGAUACAACGUCUUAUCCGUUGAUUUUAGGACAACCUUAUAUUAUGGCAACACGGAUGGAAACAAAAGUAUUUGAUGAUGGUUCUACUUAUGCAAGGGUACGUAGCAAAGAUGGAAGGAAAGCUGUACAAUUUCUAACAGUACCUCUUAACCAUGAACGGAAUCGAAAUACGUUGAGGGAGAAACCAUUGCCAAAGAUUGUUGAAGGAUUUAAGGAUUUUGGAGAGAUACCUCUAUAAAGCAAGAUUAUGGAGGUACAAAAGAGGAGGUACUCUUGUAAGAUGAAGGUGCCUUUGAUGCGAGUUUUAUUGAUAUAUUGGAGAAUGGAAAUAUUAUGUAUAAGAAAGUUGAUGAUUUUAAAAGAAAAGAAAGAAAAAGAUUAUAUAAUAUUGAAGGACAAUUAUGCAAGUUAGGUACAUUGCAAGAUGAUGAGAGGAUUUUAGGUGUUUAUGAUGAAAAUGGACUAGAAGAUUCAUUGGAAUUGAUUACAUCUAUUGGGUUAGGGGAUAAUGAUAAGAUUGUUGAGAUUCAUUCAAGAGAGGUUUAUACCAUACUUGAAUCUUUUCAAGCACCAGAAGUCACUGUAGAGACGAGAUAUAAAAUGACAGAUAAGAAGGUAAAGCCUGUUGCCGGACCAUUACCAGAAGUUUCUAAAGAACAAAUGGGAGAAGCAUCAAAAGAAACAAGUUUAAGAAAUCCAAUGAGUAUUGGACAUUAGUUUACUAAAGAGACUUUUGAAGAAUUGAAGAUUGGUUCUGAUGGUUCUUUAUUGCCGGAGGAAAUUACUUGCUUCAAAAAGAUGUUGGCUAAACAAGGUAGAUCGUUUGCUUUUGAAUCUCAUGAAAUUGGGUGUGUGGAUCCAAAUAUUAUUACACCUAUGGUUAUCUUCACUGUACCGCAUGUACCUUGGAAUCUAAGACCGAUUCUAGUACCGAGGACACAUUUACCUAAAUUGGUGGAACUAUUAAAAGAAAAGAUAAAGAUGAAAAUAUUGGAACCCUCAUUUGCGUUGUACUCUAAUCGAUGGUUUACGGUACCUAAGAAGAAUGGGUCACUACAGUUUAUUCAAGAUAUGCAACCGGUGAAUGCAGUGACUGUCAAGAAUGCAGGAAUUGGACCUAUUGUGGAUGAAUUUGCUGAGGCGUUUGCUGGAAGGGCGAUCUAUGGAAAGUCAAUGGGUGACUUGUGUUCAAGUUAUGAUCAAUUUCAACUUGCCGAAAGAAGUAGAGAUAUGACAACAAUGAGGACACCACUUGGAUUGGUUAGAAUGUGCACUCUUCCUCAAGGCGCGACCAAUUCAGUUGCGCAUAUGAUGAAUGGGAUGAAUAAGGUAUUGAGAGAUUUUAUUCCGGAAAAAACUAUGCCUUUUUUGGAUGAUGUUCCUAUAAAAGGGUGUAGAGAAGGAGACAAGGAUGAAACUUUAGAUACAAGGGGGUGCCGCAAAUAUGUUGUUGAUCAUAUACAAGAUUGUGAAAAGAUUUUAACUCGGCUUGGAGAAGUUCAUCUUACAUUAUCGGAUAUGAAGUCCGUAUUUGGAGUGCGAGAGGUUGUAAUUGUUGGACAUUUAUGUGGAUCUUACGGAAGAAAACCAGAUCCGACUAAAGUUGAUGCAAUUGGAAGGAUGAAAGAGGAUUGUGAUUCUUUAACAGAGGUUCGCAGGUUUUUGGGUGCAUGUGUAUUUUAUCGAAUUUGGAUCCCUCAUUUUACUCACAUAGCGGAUCCAUUAUAUGAACUGUUACGCAAGGGUUACCGAUUUAAAUGAGAAGAAAGGCAUAUUCAGGCAAUGCAAAGAUUGAAGAAAUUAUUGAUGUCACCUCCAAUAUUGAGGAAGGUUGAUUAUAAGUGCAAUAGACCAGUGAUUCUUACUGUGGACGCUAGUCCAAUUGCCAUUGGAUGGGCUGUGGGUCAAGAUGAUUCAAAUGGGAAUAGAUUUGCAGUUCGAUUUGGGGCUAAAGUUUUAAGUAUUCGUCAGCGUGCAUAUUCGCAAGUCAAAAGAGAACUUUGGGGAGUCGUUUCGGCUAUGAAAGCGGAAAAGGACUAUUUGAUUGGGGCAGUAGUAGUAAUUGAAACAGAUUGCUUGCCAUUGCUUGGAAUGAUUAUUAACUGUUCAACGCCAGAUAUUGCAAUAUUGAGAUGGAUUGCUUAUAUUAAGUCACUAAAUCCAGAAUUUAAGCAUAUUACUAGAAAAGAUAAUUUAGUAGCAGACAUGCUAUCUAGAGCAAGAUACGAGAGGGAGGACAAAAUGAUUGAGGACAUUGAUGAUGUUGGAUUGAAAUUCUAUUCAAUAUCAAAUCUUAACAGGGAAGACAAGCUAUUUCUUGAAGAAUCUUAUGAAGGAGAAUUAUUGGAUAUUGGUCAUUACUUGAAUACCUUGACUAAGCAGGGAAAUUGGUCUACAGAAAAUUUCAAACAAAUAAGAAAAAAAGCAUAUGGAUUUUUACUUUGAGAUGGAUUCUUAUGGAAGAGACCGAAGAAAGGAAUUGGGAUGCCACGACGAGUGAUAGGCAAAAACGAAGAAAAACUAAAAUUAUUAAAGGAGUUUCAUGAUAAUUUAUGGACAGGGCAUAGAGAAAUCUGGGCUACUUUUGCUAAACUCAAGGAACGAUAUUGGUGGAAAAAUAUGUAUCGAGAUGUGCUCUCAUUUGUAGAGUCAUGUGAAAUCUGUCAAUCGUAUUCUAAUAUCCGACAUCGAGAUGGUCUUCAUCCUACGUAUCCUCUGGCUAUUCAUUUUAAAUGGGUUGUUGAUUUGGUUAUUAUGCCAGUUGGGUUAUGGCAGAUGAGAUAUUUGGUUUUAGCUCGUGAAGAUUUAUCAAAUCAAGUAGAAGGAAGAGCAUUGAGGACAAAAUCUACAUAGGGGAUUUGUAGGUUUUUGCUUGAAGAUGUCAUUUGCCGCUACGGAUGCGUAGGAAAAAUCACUACAGAUCGUGGAGAAUUAAAUGCACAAGAAGCUCGUAAGUUCUUUGAAAAAUGUGGAGUUAAACUAUCAUUGACUACUGCUUAUAAUCCAGAAGGGAAUGCAAAAAAGUAAGUACCUUUUCUUAAAUCGACAUAAAAAGGGCCUUAGUCAAUCUGACAUGAACGACCAAUUUGAUCCAAUAUGAGAUCUGAAUUGGUUGGGCGACUCAAUGUGGUCCCGAUUACGGGACUCCGAUUUCGUUUCAAGCUGUUCCGUCCUUUAUGCCGUUCUGGGAACGUCCUUUCGAUAAAAGGAUUUCUUAAAGGUAAAAACAAAGGAGAAAGCUCUGACGGUGAGAGCCAGUUUUGGAUCUAAGCUCUGAUGGUAGGAGCCAAUUUCGGAUCCAAGACGGAAGAUUGAAGAAAUUCAGAAUUAAGGUUAAGAAAUGAGAGGGGGAGAGAGGAAGUUUUAGAAGGGAUUUUGAGGGAUGGGAGAGCUAGCUUCAUGCUUCGGGAAGGAGAAAAAAGACAGAGAAUUGGUUUUUUUUUCUUCAUAGGGUUUUGGGAAGACUGAGGCAAUCGUUGCUGAAGUCAGUGUUGUAAUGGUGAAUCGGGAUUUUUAAUGAAGUGGAUUUGAUUACUCUUGACUGUUUUGUGAAAUCGAGUUAUGUCUGUGAUUGAAGAAUUAAAAGGGUGUCUAUAGGAUU
rnacentral:lncRNA from 1 species